rnacentral:rRNA from 1 species
GGUGGAGCAUGUGGUUCAAUUCGAUGCAAACCGAAGAACCUUACCCGGGCUUGACAUGCUGGUGGUACCGACCCGAAAGGGAAGGGACCCAUGGCCUUCGGGCGCUUGGGAACCAGCACAGGUGCUGCAUGGCUGUCGUCAGCUCGUGUCGUGGGAUGUUGGGUUAAGUCCUGAAACGAGCGCAACCCCUGCUGCCCGUUGCCAACGGACCCUGCGGGGUGCCGGGGACUCAGGCGGGACUGCCGGCGAAUAGCCGGAGGAAGGAGGGGAUGAUGUCAAGUCCUCAUGGCCCUUAUGUCCGGGGCUACACACAUGCUACAGUGCCCAGCACAAUGGGUCGCCAACCCGCAAGGGGGAGCCAAUCCCAUCAAAACUGGGCAUGGUUCGGAUUGCAGGCUGCAACCCGCCUGCAUGAAGCCGGAAUCGCUAGUAAUCGCGGGUCAGCCACACCGCGGUGAAUACGUUCCCGGGUCUU